AGAAUUUUGGUCAAUGGGCGAAAGCCUGAUCCAGCAAUACCGCGUGCAGGAUGAAGGCCUUCAGGUUGUAAAACUUCUUUAGUACGGAACGAAACGGUCUGCCCUAAUACGGCGGGUAAAGACAGUACCGUAAAGAAUAAGCACCGGCUAACUACGUGCCAGCAGCCGCGGUAAUCCGUAGGGUGCGAGCGUUAAUCGGAAUUACUAGGCGUAAAGCGUGCGCAGGCGGUUAUAUAAGACAGAUGUGAAAUCCCCGGGCUCAACCUGGGACCUGCAUUUGUGACUGUAUAGCUAGAGUACGGUAGAGGGGGAUGGAAUUCCGCGUGUAGCAGUGAAAUGCGUAGAUAUGCGGAGGAACACCGAUGGCGAAGGCUAUCCCCUGGACCUGUACUGACGCUCAUGCACGAAAGCGUGGGGAGCAAACAGGAUUAGAUACCCUGGUAGUCCACGCCCU
rnacentral:rRNA from 1 species